AUUUGUUGAGAUAUAUCUAUAAAUUAAGUGUUUAGUACUUUGUCGAUUCAAAUUUUAGAAUGCAAAAUAGUUAUCUUUUAUGUGCCUUCAAGAUGUACCAUUUUUUACUGAUCAAGGUUGGUAGAAAAAUUUUAGUAUAUAGCAUAAUAGUUGUUUGAAACAAACAUGACAAUAUUCAUGUCUCUCAUUCAAAGUAUACAUAUUUAAUUUAAUGUUCUGUUUUGGCAGGUGACUAUUACUAAAUAUGUCAUAUGAAGUUCUUGAACAAGCAAUAAAUUCUACCAAUGAUUCCAAUAUGCUAGGAAAAGGAUGAUCAGCUGCGCGAUGAAUUUGGAGACCAAAGAAGGUGUUGUCAUCAAGAAGAUCGGGAAUGACUUUGACAACCGGAUCGAUGCCAAGAGGGCUUUCCGGAAAAUCAAGCUCAUCUGUCACAUGGACCAUGAUAAUGUAAUCAAUUUUAUUUUUCUCUAAUCAGUUUUUGAUUCGGUUUUGGUUUUGAAGUUUUUGGUGUGAAUUAUGUGUGGUAGGUGAUUAAGAUAAAGGAUAUAAUAAGGCUAGCAGAGAAGAAAAAUUUCAAUGAUGUGUACAUAGUUUAUGAGCUAAAGGACAUGAGAAUCUGUCAUUCAUUCUUCUUCUUUAAUGAAACUAACUACAACCAUGACAAUAGAAGAAGACUCCUUGGCUGUACUUCUAUUUUGACAGAGCUGUUGAACAGUUUCAAUUUCCUCUUUACAUUUUUUCUCUUAAUUCAAAGUUUAGACAUUUUCCUUCUUAGCUCUAUGAUUUUUUUUUUCAAUUUUGAAUUUCUCAUUUUCAUUUCUGGCAUGCCAUUGGCUGAGUUUAUAAUAUCACUUCUGAUUAUUCCAAUUUUAAUUUCAAUUUUGAAUAAUACAUAGGAUUGGGAAUCAAUCAUCUUUUCUGUUUACAUCAACUUUCUUAGAACAUAAUAAUCCAUUGAGGCAUGUUAAUGUUCUUUCAAAAACCAGAACUCUCUCUCUCUCUCUCUCUCUCUCUCUCUCUCAUUUUAGUGUAUAUAUAUGUACACAUUUCCAUGCUAGUGUGGAUCAUCAUGAAAGGUAGACUUUAUUGUUUGUUCUUUGGAAUUGCCAAUGUGAAUGAUAUUUUAUUUUUAUUUUUUCGGUAUUUUCUUUGUGCAAUAGUUUCUACUAUUUGUUUACCUUCCUUUCUGACAAACUUCAAAAUUUUUUUCCUUUUUUUAAUUAAUUUCUGUUUAGACAAUUGUAUUUAUAAAGAGAGGUGCAUAUUUACUAAAGUGUGGUCGCAGAGGAAAACCAAAGCUCUGCCCUUUCAGACUUCCCUAGGAUGAGAGGAAUUUGAUUUAGUACUCAAGGCAGCAUGAAAGCAUUUACGAUUGAGUUCGGUUUUGAAGAUUGUUCAAGGAAAGGAAAAUAUAAGAUGCCAAAGGCAAAAUAAAGCUGAAAAGGAGUGCCAUACAUUUUUGCUAAUCUAUGUUGAUGUGGACAUUGUUUGAGAAGAGGAAUGAUAUGGGAGUUUUGUGAUUGCACUAUCAAGGGGAUUGCUUUUCAUUAUUUUUGGUAUCCAGUCAUUCUUUUAGUAAGCACUUUACCUUUUUUUGAGUGUUUUGAGUGUUUUGUUAUUACAUACAUCUAACCUUUGUUAAUCUUGACUAUUCUCUUUCUAUUAUAUUCUUUCCAGGCCUUGGGUUGAAUAGUGAAAUGCUUAAUGCAAAAGGAUUUAGAGUUAGGAGUUAAUAAUUUAAUUUUCGUAAAAAGAAAAGUAAGUUAAAAAGAUAAUUAUCAAGCUCAAUUAACUUCAAUUUUAUGAU